GUCCGCGUAGUAUGUUAAUUAGAUCGGUCAUCUAAGCCAAAAAUGGAGUAAACUCUUGUCCCAUAGACUC
rnacentral:tRNA from 1 species